rnacentral:rRNA from 1 species
AAUCAACGCUGGCGGCGCGCUUAACACAUGCAAGUCGAACGAGAAAGCCGGGGCAACCUGGUGAGUAAAGUGGCGUACGGGUGAGUAACACGUGGAUCAUCUACCCUGGAGUGGGGAAUAACGCUGGGAAACCGGCGCUAAUACCGCAUAAUCCCGAGAGGGCAAAGGAAGCAAUUCCGUUUCAGGAGGAGUCUGCGGCCGAUUAGCUUGUUGGCAGGGUAAAAGCCUACCAAGGCAUCGAUCGGUAGCCGGCCUGAGAGGGCACACGGCCACACUGGCACUGAAACACGGGCCAGACUCCUACGGGAGGCAGCAGUGGGGAAUCUUGCACAAUGGGGGCAACCCUGAUGCAGCGACGCCGCGUGAGCGAUGAAGCUCCUCGGAGUGUAAAGCUCUUUCGGCAGGGAAGAUUAUGACGGUACCUGCAG